ACGGGGGGUGCAAGCGUUGUUCGGAAUCAUUGGGCGUAAAGCGCGUGUAGGCGGCUUGACAAGUCAGAUGUGAAAGCCCUGGGCUUAACCCAGGAAGUGCAUUUGAAACUGUCUCGCUAGAGUAAGGGAGAGGAAAGUGGAAUUCCUGGUGUAGAGGUGAAAUUCGUAGAUAUCAGGAGGAACACCGGUGGUGAAGGCGGCUAUCUGGCCCUUUACUGACGCUGAGGCGCGAAAGCGUGGGUAGCAAACAG
rnacentral:rRNA from 1 species